rnacentral:rRNA from 1 species
AGCUCCCAUGGCGCCUGUUUAUCAAAAACAUGGUUUCUUGAGUUUAUAAGAAAUCUAACCUGCUCACUGCUUAGGUAAAGAGCCGCAGUAUUGUGACUGUGCUAAGGUAGCAUAAUCAUUUGUCUUUUAAAUAGAGUCUGGUAUGAAAGGUUGGAUUGAGGAAAAACUGUCUCUUUAUUAUAAAAUGAAAUUAAUUAGUUAGUAAAAAGGCUGGUAUUCAUCUGAAGGACGAUAAGACCCUAUUAAGCUUAAUUUUAUAAUUUUACUGGGGCGGUAAAAUAAGAGUAGAAUCUUACCAAUUGGAAGUGGAAUGUUAAGGACCCAAUAGUAUUGAGGAUUUGAUAAAGUUACUAUAGGGAUAACAGCUUAAUUUUUUCUUGAAGAUCUUAUUUAGGAAAAAGUUUGAGACCUCGAUGUUGAAUUAAAGUGUCAUAUGGGCGCAGUAGCCUAUAUUGUGAGUCUGUUCGACUCUUAAAACUUUACGUGAUCUGAGUUCAGACCGGCCAUGG